GGGAUCUUGAUAAUAGACUGUGUGUCUAUGGUCUUGAUAAGAGUAUAAAUAUAUACAUUUAUUGUUGUUUGAAGUAAAAUAGGUAGUAACUAUUUUCUACGUUGAAAAAGAAAUGGCACAAACAGAAAAUGUGCCUAACGCACUCCUACUUUUCUAGGAUAACUGAGUUUUGAUAGAACAAGCAGGAGAAGGGAGUUUUUUAAACGGCACAUAAGGCGAUCUUUGCUGUGAUGGAUCCACACAAUCCAAAAGUAAACCAACGUGGAUGUCAGGCCAAAUCUAAGCAGGCAAGAGAAGAGCGAAAAAAGCUCCUCGCCCCUGCACACAAGUACAUGAUUGACAUCCUGGCUGACAGGCUGUCCCUGGAGCCAACUGAAGUAGAAAAAUUUAUUUUAGAUUCCUCAUCUUUUAGAGUGGAUGUUGCUGUCAACGCAGAGAACAUACAUGAGACAUCCAGAUGAGAAAUGAGGCCAUUGUUCAUCUUCGUACAGUCACAGACAUUGACUUCUCUAAAUUGACCUGCCUUGACGAUAUGAAAGCUGCAGCGGUCAACUUUGACAUGGUGCAACAACUGGAAGAAAUUCUAAAGAAAUGGUGCAAGCAAAUUGAGGCCAUUUUGACAGACUACAAGGCGACCUGUGAGAACAUACCAGCAGUUUUCGCCAGCUUGAUGGCCCCAAAAAUAAAAAAUGU
ensembl:lncRNA